rnacentral:rRNA from 1 species
GACGAACGCUGGCGGCGUGCUUAACACAUGCAAGUCGAACGGUAAGGCCCUUCGGGGUACACGAGUGGCGAACGGGUGAGUAACACGUGGGUGAUCUGCCCUGCACUUCGGGAUAAGCUUGGGAAACUGGGUCUAAUACCGGAUAGGACCCUGGGUAGCAUGUCCAGGGGUGGAAAGCUUUUGCGGGGUGGGAUGGGCGCGCUGCCUAUCAGAGUGUUGGUGGGGCGAUGGCCUACGAAGGGGACGACGGGUAGCCGCCCUGAGAGGGUGACCGGCCACAGUGGGACGGAGAUACUGACCAGACUACUACGGGAGGCUGCAGUGGGGAAGAUUGCACAAUGGGCGCAAGCCUGAUGCAGCGACGCGGCGUGAUGGAUGACGGACUUCGGGUUGUAAAGCACUUUCAGCACCGACGGAGCGCAAGUGACGGUAGGUGCAGAAGAAGGACCGGCCAACUACGUGCCAGCCGCCGCCGUAA